GUACGCUUCUUUUUCCCCGGAGCUUGCUCCACCGGAAAAAGAAGAGUGGCGAACGGGUGAGUAACACGUGGGUAACCUGCCCAUCAGAAGGGGAUAACACUUGGAAACAGGUGCUAAUACCGUAUAACAAUCGAAACCGCAUGGUUUUGAUUUGAAAGGCGCUUUCGGGUGUCGCUGAUGGAUGGACCCGCGGUGCAUUAGCUAGUUGGUGAGGUAACGGCUCACCAAGGCCACGAUGCAUAGCCGACCUGAGAGGGUGAUCGGCCACAUUGGGACUGAGACACGGCCCAAACUCCUACGGGAGGCAGCAGUAGGGAAUCUUCGGCAAUGGACGAAAGUCUGACCGAGCAACGCCGCGUGAGUGAAGAAGGUUUUCGGAUCGUAAAACUCUGUUGUUAGAGAAGAACAAGGAUGAGAGUAACUGUUCAUCCCUUGACGGUAUCUAACCAGAAAGCCACGGCUAACUACGUGCCAGCAGCCGCGGUAAUACGUAGGUGGCAAGCGUUGUCCGGAUUUAUUGGGCGUAAAGCGAGCGCAGGCGGUUUCUUAAGUCUGAUGUGAAAGCCCCCGGCUCAACCGGGGAGGGUCAUUGGAAACUGGGAGACUUGAGUGCAGAAGAGGAGAGUGGAAUUCCAUGUGUAGCGGUGAAAUGCGUAGAUAUAUGGAGGAACACCAGUGGCGAAGGCGGCUCUCUGGUCUGUAACUGACGCUGAGGCUCGAAAGCGUGGGGAGCAAACAGGAUUAGAUACCCUGGUAGUCCACGCCGUAAACGAUGAGUGCUAAGUGUUGGAGGGUUUCCGCCCUUCAGUGCUGCAGCUAACGCAUUAAGCACUCCGCCUGGGGAGUACGACCGCAAGGUUGAAACUCAAAGGAAUUGACGGGGGCCCGCACAAGCGGUGGAGCAUGUGGUUUAAUUCGAAGCAACGCGAAGAACCUUACCAGGUCUUGACAUCCUUUGACCACUCUAGAGAUAGAGCUUCCCCUUCGGGGGCAAAGUGACAGGUGGUGCAUGGUUGUCGUCAGCUCGUGUCGUGAGAUGUUGGGUUAAGUCCCGCAACGAGCGCAACCCUUAUUGUUAGUUGCCAUCAUUCAGUUGGGCACUCUAGCAAGACUGCCGGUGACAAACCGGAGGAAGGUGGGGAUGACGUCAAAUCAUCAUGCCCCUUAUGACCUGGGCUACACACGUGCUACAAUGGGAAGUACAACGAGUCGCGAAGUCGCGAGGCUAAGCUAAUCUCUUAAAGCUUCUCUCAGUUCGGAUUGUAGGCUGCAACUCGCCUACAUGAAGCCGGAAUCGCUAGUAAUCGCGGAUCAGCACGCCGCGGUGAAUACGUUCCCGGGCCUUGUACACACCGCCCGUCACACCACGAGAGUUUGUAACACCCGAAGUCGGUGA
rnacentral:rRNA from 2 species